UUUGUCUUUUAAUUUGGGACUAGAAUGAAAGGUUAGACUAUGUAAUUUUGUCUUAUAAUAAUAUUUUGAAUUUCACAUUUUAGUAAAAAGGCUAAAAUUUUCAUUAAAGACGAGAAGACCCUAUCAAGCUUUACAAUUAUAGUUUAAUAUCAAUUUAAAUAAAAAAUUGUUUUGCUGGGGCAGCAAACAAAAAAUUUUUGUUUAUUCAUUAUGAAUUAUAAUUCUUGAAAAAUCAAAUAAUAGUUAAAUAAGAAUAAGUUACUGUAGGGAUAACAGCAUAAUUUUUUUAAAGAGUUCUUAUCAGCAAAAAAGUUUGUGACCUCGAUGUUGGAUUAAAAUACCUGUUUCGUGCAAUAACAAAAUAAGGAAGUCUGUUCGACUUUUAAAAUUUUCCA
rnacentral:rRNA from 1 species